CUUGAACUCAUCACAGAACUCCUUGUUUCUGGGAGAUGAACCAGGCUCCAGAAGAGGGCAGGAAGGAAAAGGGAAAAGGGCUUUACCCCACCAGAAAGCUCACAGCCAUUGAGGACCUCCUGUGUGACAGGUGGGGCUCCAGGACUGCAAAGGCAAAUUAGGACAGAAGUCCCUGCCUCAAGAAGCUCAUAGUCAAUGAGCAGAGAGGGUACAUCUGUUGUUUUGCCCGCUGAAAUCCAUCCCAUUUUUCUGAUUUCCCUCACGGGCACACCUCUCCCCUACUCGCUGGGUCCGGAGGAGGAAACCCGGAUCUGACCCAUCAGCACCGUCCAACCCGCCUACUGGUUGGCUCAGGGCUGGGCGUUGACCUCAAACACUCCAAUGAGAUUCCAUGACACUUUUUCUGGACCUUUUGAAAAAGGGCUGGAAUUCGGGAGCAGCUUGGCUGAGCGAUUCUGAUACAGGGUCUCUCACGAGCUUGGCGUCAAGAUACUGCAGGGGCUGCAGGCAUCUGCAGCUUACCUAAGGCUGGAGGAGCCACCUCCAAGAUGCUGGUGGGAGGCCUCAGUUUCUCUCCGUGUGGGCCUCUCCCAGGGCUGCUCAAGCAUCCUGGUGACGUGAUGGCUGGCUACUCCCAGAGGAAGAAGAUAGAAGCAACGAUGCCUUUUAUGACCUACCUUCAGAAGUCACACACCAUCACAUCUGCCAUAUUCUCUUAGACAGAAGUGAGUCCCUAAGCCAGUUCUGCCUCCCAAUCCAGGAGAGGGGAGGUACGGAGGAGGGUCAAAGAAUUUGUGGAUAUAUUUUGAAACCAAACAACAGGUGAUGAUAGAGCUGAAGAGCCAAACAAGGGAUAGUGAGACAACCUGUAGAUUAACAAUAGCAGGAAGACACUGACCCACUCAGGACUGGAGGAACAAGUGAGGAAGGAGGCUACCAGAGCCCAGGAGCCAGGACCACCCAGUGGAAACUGGAACUUUGGAGGAGCUGGAGGCUUGAAGAUGGAGUCACUGACAGAGAUGCUCCCCAGAGCAGAGAGGGAGACAAACAGUCGGCUUCUUCCUUCCUCUGCUCCCCAAGCUUCCGUCAUCGCCUGCAACAGCCGGACCCACCAGGAAGCAGAGCGCGAGGGAGCCUGGAAAAUGUAGUUUCUCGUGAUGCAGAGGUGAACAGAGAGGGCUGGGAUGGGUCUGAGAUCAAGUGGGUAAAGACUAGCAUGGAGCCCCGCAAAUGGCUGAUUUGAUUAGGUGUUGAUAUUGUGGUUAAAUUUGUCUUGAAUUCUGAUUAUUUUUAUAUAUCAAUAUUGUUCUCAAUAAAAUGACAUUUUAAAACUGAAAAUGAAAAAGAAAAGAAUAAUGAAAGAAAUUUCUCCAGUCUCCUUUAAUCUUCCUUAAUGUUAAAAGACUUCUGUGGGGCCAGAGUGAAGGGGCAUUAAUACCCAGACAGCAGAAAGCUGCUCCAGCCUUUCCAGGAAAUGGCCUUUUGCUAUUCUUUUUAA
ensembl:lncRNA